CCUACGGGAGGCAGCAGUGGGGAAUCUUAGACAAUGGGGGCAACCCUGAUCUAGCCAUGCCGCGUGAGUGAUGAAGGCCUUAGGGUCGUAAAGCUCUUUCGCCUGUGAUGAUAAUGACAGUAGCAGGUAAAGAAACCCCGGCUAACUCCGUGCCAGCAGCCGCGGUAAUACGGAGGGGGUUAGCGUUGUUCGGAAUUACUGGGCGUAAAGCGCGCGUAGGCGGAUUAGAAAGUUGGGGGUGAAAUCCCGGGGCUCAACCUCGGAACUGCCUCCAAAACUGCUAGUCUAGAGUUCGAGAGAGGUGAGUGGAAUUCCGAGUGUAGAGGUGAAAUUCGUAGAUAUUCGGAGGAACACCAGUGGCGAAGGCGGCUCACUGGCUCGAUACUGACGCUGAGGUGCGAAAGUGUGGGGAGCAAACAGGAUUAGAUACCCUGGUAGUCCACACCGUAAACGAUGAAUGCCAGUCGUCGGGUAGUAUACUAUUCGGUGACACACCUAACGGAUUAAGCAUUCCGCCUGGGGAGUACGGUCGCAAGAUUAAAACUCAAAUGAAUUGACGGA
rnacentral:rRNA from 1 species